ACAAAAGGAGUAGUUGCUGGAACAACUACUUGGACAUCAACGUUAUUGACAAGCAAGUGAGGAAAGAAAAUUGUUGGCAGUAAAAUUUACGAUUAAAGGAAGCUAGAUUGGAAAUAUAUAGCAGCUUCAACUGAAAACUAUCCUUCUGCAAAAAAAAAAUGAUUGAUUGAAGAGAGUCGUACGGAUCGUUCGAGGUGACGAGUUUGGUAUUUCGCAUGAGCACUAGACAGCAGUUGACACGAGUGAGGAUUUUGUUAAUUAGAGUACACGAGUUGGUAGUUCCUGGUGAGCCCCGCACUUUUUCGCGUGGGCAAAGAGUUUAUUUAUUUAUUAUCGUCCUUCUUUAUGAACUCUUAGAG